GAUGAAGAACGCAGUGAAAUGCGAUACGUAAUGUGAAUUGCAGAAUUCAGUGAAUCAUCGAAUCUUUGAACGCAUAUUGCGCUCUCUGGUAUUCCGGAGAGCAUGCUUGUUUGAGUAUCAGUAAACACCUCAACUUCCAUAUCUUUUUUUGAAAUGGGAGUUGGACUUGAGUGAUCCCAACGCUUUUCCUCACCGAAAGGUGGCGGGUUACUUGAAAUGCAGGUGCAGCUGGACUUUUCUCUGAGCUAUAAGCAUAUCUAUUUAGUCUGCCUAAAAAACAGAUCAUUACCUUUGCUGCAGCUAACAUAAAGGAGAUUAGUUCUUGUGCUGACUGAUGCAGGAUUCACAAAGACGGCUUCGGCCGACUUUGUAAACUCGAUCUCAAAUCAAGUAAGACUACCCGCUGAACUUAAGCAUAUCAAUAAGCGGAGGA
rnacentral:misc_RNA from 1 species